CCUACGGGAGGCAGCAGUGAGGAAUAUUGGUCAAUGGGCGCGAGCCUGAACCAGCCAAGUAGCGUGAAGGAUGACUGCCCUACGGGUUGUAAACUUCUUUUAUAAAGGAAUAAAGUGAGGCACGUGUGCCUUUUUGUAUGUACUUUAUGAAUAAGGAUCGGCUAACUCCGUGCCAGCAGCCGCGGUAAUACGGAGGAUCCGAGCGUUAUCCGGAUUUAAUGGGUUUAAAGGGAACGUUUAUGGGUUGUUAAGUUCGUUGUGAAAGUUUGCGGCUCAAACGUAAAAUUGCAAUUGAUACUGGCAGUCUUGAGUACAGUUGAGGUAGGCGGAAUUCGUGGUGUAGCGGUGACAUGCUUAGAUAUCACGAAGAACUCCGAUUGCGAAGGCAGCUUACUAAACUUCCACUGACAUUGAUGCUCGAAAGUGUGGGUAUCAAACAGGAUUAGAUACCCCUGUAGUC
rnacentral:rRNA from 1 species